rnacentral:rRNA from 1 species
GAUGAAGGUUUUCGGAUCGUAAAACUCUGUUGUUAGGGAAGAACAAGUACGAGAGUAACUGCUCGUACCUUGACGGUACCUAACCAGAAAGCCACGGCUAACUACGUGCCAGCAGCCGCGGUAAUACGUAGGUGGCAAGCGUUGUCCGGAAUUAUUGGGCGUAAAGCGCGCGCAGGCGGUCUCUCAAGUCUGAUGUGAAAGCCCACGGCUCAACCGUGGAGGGUCAUUGGAAACUGGGAGACUUGAGUGCAGAAGAGAAGAGUGGAAUUCCACGUGUAGCGGUGAAAUGCGUAGAGAUGUGGAGGAACACCAGUGGCGAAGGCGACUCUUUGGUCUGUAACUGACGCUGAGGCGCGAAAGCGUGGGGAGCAAACAGGAUUAGAUACCCUGGUAGUCCACGCCGUAAACGAUGAGUGCUAAGUGUUAGAGGGUUUCCGCCCUUUAGUGCUGCAGCAAACGCAUUAAGCACUCCGCCGUGGGGAGUACGGCCGCAAGGCUAG